rnacentral:rRNA from 1 species
GUGCCAGCCGCCGCGGUAAUACCGGCAGCCCAAGUGAUGGCCGAUCUUAUUGGGCCUAAAGCGUCCGUAGCUGGCCGCGCAAGUCCAUCGGAAAAUCCACCCGCCCAACGGGUGGGCGUCCGGUGGAAACUGCGUGGCUUGGGACCGGAAGGCGCGACGGGUACGUCCGGGGUAGGAGUGAAAUCCUGUAAUCCCGUCCGGACCACCGAUGGCGAAAGCACUUCGAGAAAACGGAUCCGACAGUGAGGGACGAAAGCUAGGGUCUCGAACCGGAUUAGAUACCCCGGUAGUCC